CCUACGGGUGGCAGCAGUGGGGGAUAUUGCGCAAUGGGGGAAACCCUGACGCAGCAACGCCGCGUGAAGGAAGAAGGCCUUCGGGUCGUAAACUUUUGUCCUCAGGGAAGAAUAACUGACGGUACCUGAGGAGGAAGCCACGGCUAACUACGUGCCAGCAGCCGCGGUAAUACGUAGGUGGCGAGCGUUGUCCGGAAUUACUGGGUGUAAAGGGCGUGUAGGCGGGGAUGCAAGUCAGAUGUGAAAUUCCGGGGCUCAACCCCGGCACUGCAUCUGAAACUGUGUCUCUUGAGUGCUGGAGAGGAAAGUGGAAUUCCUAAUGUAGCGGUGAAAUGCGUAGAGAUUAGGAGGAACACCAGUGGCGAAGGCGACUUUCUGGACAGUAACUGACGCUGAGGCGCGAGAGCGUGGGGAGCAAACAGGAUUAGAUACCCUGGUAGUC
rnacentral:rRNA from 1 species